AAUCUUGAUGCUUCAUAUAACCAAAGCAUCCGCCUGAGAACUACGAGCACAAACGCUUAAAACUCUAAGGACUUGGCGGUGUCCCAAACCCACCUAGAGGAGCCUGUUCUAUAAUCGAUAACCCACGAUACACCCGACCACUUCUUGCCAAAACAGCCUACAUACCGCCGUCGCCCGCUCACCUCUUUUGAGAGCGCCGCAGUGAGCACAAUCGCCCUAACCCCGCUAACAAGACAGGUCAAGGUAUAGCUCAUGAAGUGGAAGAAAUGGGCUACCAUUUUCUAGCUUAAAAAACUCACGAAAAGGGGCAUGAAAUAGUCCCUAGAAGGCGGAUUUAGCAGUAAAGCGGGAUAACAUAAGCCCCCUUUAAGCCGGCCCUGGGGCACGUACACAC
rnacentral:rRNA from 1 species